rnacentral:lncRNA from 1 species
CAGAAGCGGAGAACACAUGACACCUGCUUUACAAUCCGACAUGAAAUCAGUUGCACCCGAACAUCUUAUCGGGAGGUGUCGCAAUUCGUUGUGAAGAGUUUGUGUCCCCCAUUCGUGCCAGAAUCCUAUGAUCGUGAGUUCGAUUCGCCCUGAAUAUGAUUCUUGGUGUGUCAGCACCAUACUCGUCAUCGUGGGUAUCAACAUGUUAAACGUCUUGUACCUGCAUCACAUAUGGGUCCCCUACCUACGCCUCCAACCACACUCACAUUAAGCUGAUACGCCAUGAUAUAACUGGAAUACUAAAAACACAAUUCACUUACUAUAUACCAUGGCCAGAAACGACACAUACUCAAUAGUGCUAAAUACAAUUAUCGAUACCUACUAUUAGGUACACGGAAAACAUGCGGUCACAUUCUUACACAACUGAGGAAGUCCAUGUGAUAUAUUAUUUAUUUGUGUUUUGGUUGUUUUCCGUGACACAACUCUAGUACUAAUUAUUCCGUUAUGACACCACCACCUCACUGUUCAACGUGAAAGUGCGAAAUCGAAUGUACCAGAAGCGCUCGUAAAAUGAAUAACGCCUGGAGUUCAGUCAUUCAGCUGUUGGCGGGAUACCAGUACCCAUGACACGCCAAUAAGAUAUAUAGAACGCAUAUCACCAAAUGACUUCAAUGUCUUCACCCUAUAACAAUAUGUCUAUUUUUUUUGGUGACGUUUCAGUAUUAAAGCGUCUGCAUAGCAUAUGUACCAUAUAGCUCUGUGUGUUAACAUAUCUUCAACUUACAGACGUAAUUGAUUCUUCUUACUGACGCAUUCUGUUUCACUUCUUGAAAACUACUCCGCUGACUAUGACUGCAGUUCAGCAGAAGACCUGUUAUGUUCUGCAGUUGUAGCAGCAGUCGUAUGGCAAACAGUUUAAUAAAUUUGUCUCCCAUUCUCAACAGAUGUCAAACGACACGAGGGAUAUUUGAGCUGCCAAUUUGAUUCCUGCAUACUCCCAGCCGUGUCAGUUAUGACACUCAUGGACACCCUUCCUUCCCCCCAUGUCAGGUCAACACAGUCAGUCAAAAUGGAGACAGGCCUAUGGUGGGAACAAACCCCUCGGAAACCAACAUAUUCACCUAACCGUCCUGUGAUUAUGAUCAGUGACGCCGAUGAUGAUGAAGCACACAAGUUGGCAGCACUACCUCCCAUGGAUAUGGACACACCCACCGUGCUUGACGUUGUGCCACUAUCACCAGAUGAUGGCAGUGGUUCAUGGCAACUCACUUCAAUACAACUUAAAUGUAGUGCCUGUCGUCAUAACAUGUUGACAUACCUAAGCUGUCACAGUUGUCAAGUGAUGUAACAUGACUGUUUCAGGGAGGCCAUAGACUGUACCUGUUUUACUGAUGGGCCAUUAACAUGGUGAUACAUGUUAGGUUAUGAUGACCACAUCUUAACUGUCUGAGAAGAUUGAAGAUUGAAGGUUUCACUUUCUUUGAGGGACAUGUUAAGCACUCCCUCAGUUGUCAAUUGAUUCAUAUGUCCUAUGUAUAUAUGUUGAUGGGUUUAUUUAUUAAACAGUGAUUAAUUGAA